GUCGUCGUGGCCGAGUGGUUAAGGCGACAGACUAGAAAUCUGUUGGGCUCUGCCCGCACAGGUUGGAAUCCUGUCAGCGACG
rfam:Ciona savignyi cont_35801, whole genome shotgun sequence.